rnacentral:rRNA from 1 species
UACGUAGGGUCCGAGCGUUGUCCGGAAUUACUGGGCGUAAAGAGCUCAUAGGUGGUUUGUCGCGUUGUCCGUGAAAACUCACAGCUCAACUGUGGGCGUGCGGGCGAUACGGGCAGACUGGAGUACUGCAGGGGAGACUGGAAUUCCUGGUGUAGCGGUGGAAUGCGCAGAUAUCAGGAGGAACACCGGUGGCGAAGGCGGGUCUCUGGGCAGUAACUGACGCUGAGGAGCGAAAGCGUGGGGAGCGAACAGG